UACAGAGGCCUCGAGCGUUAGGCGGAAUCCCUGGGCUUAAAGCGUGUGUAGGCGGACUUCUAAGUGCCUUGUGAAAUCCCACGGCUCACCCGUGGAACUGCUGGGCAUACUGGGAGUCUUGAGCCACCUAGGGGCGAGCGGAACAAAUGGUGGAGCGGUGAAAUGCGUAGAUAUCAUUUGGAACGCCAACGGAGAAAUCAGCUCGCUGGGGGUGUGCUGACGCUGAGACACGAAAGCCAGGGGAGCGAACGGG
rnacentral:rRNA from 1 species